GUUGCGGCCAAUCGCCUCGUCGUCCGAUCGCCGGGGAGCGUGCACCUGCAAAAGGAAGUCCGCACUGACCGGAGGCGGCUCCGGCGGGGACCCUCCGACGGUCAAGUCAGAGAGGUGAUUGGGCAACAGUGAAAUGUAGACAGAGAGCUCUGAGAGAGAGAGAGGAGCGAGCCUGCGUUUUUGGGAGAGACGGAGCGGAUCGAUCCUUUGCACUGUUGCCUUCCCCGGUUUAUAUAGUGGAGCACGGUAUGGCGCCGUCAUUAAUGGCGCGGACAAGUGAGGAACUGUCAACUCACUGUGGACUGUCAGAGUCGCCGUGAAAAUGUCACAUCGCCGUGCGGCUGUCAAAUCACCAGGGUUGACAAUGCCCUCGGCGGGACAAUGCCCCUAGGUAGCCGUGCCGCAUGUCGCUGUCAGAGCUGACAAGGUCUGACGGCUGUACGGCGGUUGGAGGAGCCGACCGACCCAAAGUCGGUGGCCAGCUGAGUGGUGUCGGGCCCCUCCGUUGGUCGGCG
rnacentral:lncRNA from 1 species